UCUGCCCUCAGCGCCGUGCUGUGCUGGUGUUGGAGGCUGGCGCCCGCGCCGGCCUCUGAAAUGCAGUGGCUAGCGGCACUUCGGCCCUCUUGCGCACCGGAAUCUUUCUGCGUGAACGCGGCGAAGCGGCCCCUAUGCCUGCCCUACACAACUUUCUCA
rnacentral:misc_RNA from 1 species